CCUUCUAGCGAGGUUCUAGCCGCCCGUACCCCAAACCGACCCAGGUGGUUAGGUAGAGAAUACCAAGGCGAUCGAGUGAAUCGUGGUUAAGGAAUUCGGCAAAAUACCCCCGUAACUUCGGGAGAAGGGGGGCCCAGAGGGUGACGGGACUUGCUCCCCGAGCCUGAACGGCCGCAGAGACCAGGGAGAAGCGACUGUUUACUAAAAACACAGGUCCGUGCCAAGUCGCAAGACGAUGUAUACGGACUGACGCCUGCCCGGUGCUGGAACGUUAAGGGGACCGGUUAGCCUCACGGCGAAGCUGAGAACUUAAGCGCCAGUAAACGGCGGUGGUAACUAUAACCAUCCUAAGGUAGCGAAAUUCCUUGUCGGGUAAGUUCCGACCUGCACGAAUGGCGUAACGACUUCUCCACUGUCUCAACCACGAACUCGGCGAAAUUGCACUACGAGUAAAGAUGCUCGUUACGCGCAGAAGGACGGAAAGACCCCGGGACCUUUACUACAGCUUGGUAUUGGUGUUCGGUACGGCUUGUGUAGGAUAGGUGGGAGACUGUGAAGCUGACACGCCAGUGUCGGUGGAGUCAACGUUGAAAUACCACUCUGGUCGUUCUGGAUAUCUAACCUAGGUCCGUAAUCCGGAUCAGGGACAGUGCCUGGUGGGUAGUUUAACUGGGGCGGUUGCCUCCUAAAAGGUAACGGAGGCGCCCAAAGGUUCCCUCAGCCUGGUUGGCAAUCAGGUUUCGAGUGUAAGUGCACAAGGGAGCUUGACUGUGAGACUGACAAGUCGAACAGGGACGAAAGUCGGGACUAGUGAUCCGGCGGUGGCUUGUGGAAGCGCCGUCGCUCAACGGAUAAAAGGUACCCCGGGGAUAACAGGCUGAUCUUGCCCAAGAGUCCAUAUCGACGGCAUGGUUUGGCACCUCGAUGUCGGCUCGUCGCAUCCUGGGGCUGGAGUAGGUCCCAAGGGUUGGGCUGUUCGCCCAUUAAAGCGGUACGCGAGCUGGGUUUAGAACGUCGUGAGACAGUUCGGUCCCUAUCCUCUGCGCGCGCAGGAAACUUGAGAAGGGCUGUCCCUAGUACGAGAGGACCGGGAUGGACGAACCUCUGGUGUGUCAGUUGUUCUGCCAAGAGCACCGCUGAUUAGCUACGUUCGGGAGUGAUAACCGCUGAAAGCAUCUAAGCGGGAAGCAUGCUUCAAGAUGAGGUUUCCAUGGGGUUUACCCCGAGAGGCUCCCAGCUAGACUACUGGGUUGAUAGGCCGGAUGUGGAGGUGCGGUAACGCAUGGAGCUGACCGGUACUAAUAAGCCGAUAACUUGUC
rnacentral:rRNA from 1 species